GACAGAGGGUGCAAACGUUGUUCGGAAUUACUGGGCGUAAAGCGCGUGUAGGCGGCUUGGCAAGUCGGGUGUGAAAGCCCUGGGCUCAACCUAGGAAGUGCACUCGAAACUGCUUCGCUUGAGUGUCGGAGAGGAAAGCGGAAUUCUCGGUGUAGAGGUGAAAUUCGUAGAUAUCGAGAGGAACACCGGUGGCGAAGGCGGCUUUCUGGACGACAACUGACGCUGAGACGCGAAAGCGUGGGGAGCAAACGGG
rnacentral:rRNA from 1 species